rnacentral:lncRNA from 1 species
UCUCUUUGUUGAACCCAAUUCUUGGUCUUUUUAUUGGCUAAGUGUGAACCUUUGGCACCUGUACAACUUAUACACUAGAGCAAACUAGUUAGUCCAAUUAUUUGUGUUGGGCAAUUCAACCACCAAAAUCAAUUAGGAACUAGGUGUAAGCCUAAUUCCCUUUCAAUCUCCCCCUUUUUGGUGAUUGAUGCCAACACAAACCAAAGCAAGUAUAGAAGUGCAUAAUUGAACUAGCUUGCAUAAUGUAAGUGCAAAGGUUGCUUGGAAUUGAGCCAAUAUAAAUACUUAUAGAAUACGCAUGGAUUGUUUCUUUAUUUUUUAACAUUUUGGACCACGCUUGCACCAUAUGUUUUGUUUUUGCAAAUUCUUUUGUAAAUCCCUUUCAAAAUCCUUUUGCAAAUAGUCAAAGGUAAAAUGAAUAGAAUUUUGCAAAGUAUUUUCAAGAUUUGAAAUUUUCUCCCCUUGUUUCAAAUGCUUUUCCUUUGACUUGAACAAAACUCCCCCUAAAUGAAAUCCUCCUCUUAGUGUUCAAGAGGGUUUUAGGAUAUUGAUUUUGAAAAUACUAUUCUCUCCCCCUUUUUUAACACAAGGAGAUACCAAAUUGAAAAAUCAUACCAAUUGAAAAACGCCUUUUAAAAAUUAGGUGGUGGUGCGGUCCUUUUGCUUUGGGCUAAUACUAUCUCCCCCUUUGGCAUGAAUCGCCAAAAACGGAGUCAUUAGAGCCCUUAGAAUUACUUUCUCCCCCUUUGGUCAUAAAUAAAUGAGUGAAGAUUAUACCAAAGACGGAGUCCUUUUGCUUCGGACUCAUGCUCUCUCCCCAAAAGAUGGAGAGUGGCUCGGAGCGACGACGAAGGAUGAGUUAUGGAGUGGAAGCCUUUGUCUUUGCCGAAGACUCCAAUUUUCUUUCAAUAUACCUAUGACUUGAUUUGAAAUUCACUUGAAAACACAUUAGUCAUAGCACAUGAAAGAGAUAUGAUCAAAGGUAUAUGAAUGAGCUAUGUGUGCAAAUCAACAAGAGAAAUUCCUAGAAUCAAGGAUAUUUAGCUCAUGCCUAAGUUUGUUAAAAGUUUGUUCAUCAAGAGGCUUGGUAAAGAUAUCGGUUAAUUGAUCUUUAGUAUUAAUGUACGCAAUCUCGAUAUCUCCCUUUUGUUGGUGAUCCCUUAGAAAGUGAUACCGAAUGGCUAUGUGUUUAGUGCGACUAUGCUCAACGGGAUUAUCCGCCAUGCGGAUUGCACUCUCAUUAUCACAUAGAAGAGGAACUUUGGUUAAUUUGUAACCGUAGUCCCUAAGGGUUUGCCUCAUCCAAAGUAGUUGCGCGCAACAAUGGCCUGCGGCAAUGUACUCGGCCUCGGCGGUAGAAAGAGCUACGGAAUUUUGCUUCUUUGAAGCCCAAGACACCAAGGAUCUUCCCAAGAACCGGCAAGUCCUCGAUGUGCUCUUUCUAUUGAUUUUACACCCCGCCCAAUCGGCAUCCGAAUAACCAAUUAAAUCAAAAGUGGAUCCCCUAGGAUACCAAAGCCCAAACUUAGGAGUAUAAACUAAAUAUCUCAAGAUUCGUUUUACGGUCGUAAGGUGAGCUUCCUUAGGGUUGGCUUGGAAUCUUGCACACAUGCAUACGGAAAGCAUAAUAUCCGGUCGAGUUGCACAUAAGUAGAGUAAAGAUCCUAUCAUCGACCGGUAUACCUUUUGAUCGACGGAUUUACCUCCUUCGUCGAGGUCGAGAUGCCCAUUGGUUCCCAUGGAUGUCUUGAUGGGUUUGGCAUCCUUCAUCCCAAACUUGCUUAGAAUAUCUUGAGUAUACUUCGUUUGGCUUAGGAAGGUGCCCUCUUGGAGUUGCUUCACUUGAAAUCCUAAGAAGUACUUCAACUCCCCCAUCAUAGACAUCUCGAAUUUCUGUGUCAUGAUCCUACUAAACUCUUCACAUGUAGAUUCGUUAGUAGACCCAAAUAUAAUAUCAUCAACAUAAAUUUGGCAUACAAACAAGUCAUUUUCAAGAGUUUUAGUGAAGAGUGUAGGAUUGGCUUUUCCGACUUUGAAGCCAUUAGUGAUAAGAAAAUCUCUAAGGCAUUCAUACCAUGCUCUUGGGGCUUGCUUUAGCCCAUAAAGCGCCUUAGAGAGUUUAUAAACAUGGUUAGGGUACUCACUAUCUUCAAAGCCGGGAGGUUGCUCAACAUAGACCUCUUCCUUGAUAGGUCCAUUGAGGAAGGCACUCUUCACGUCCAUUUGAUAAAGCUUGAAGCCAUGGUAAGUAGCAUAGGCCAAUAAUAUACGAAUUGACUCAAGCCUAGCUACAGGUGCAUAGGUUUCACUGAAAUCCAAACCUUCGACUUGGGAGUAUCCCUUGGCCACAAGUCGGGCUUUGUUCCUUGUCACCACACCAUGCUCAUCUUGCUUGUUGCGGAACACCCAUUUGGUUCCUACAACAUUUUGAUUAGGACGUGGAACUAAAUGCCAUACCUCGUUCCUAGUGAAGUUGUUGAGCUCCUCUUGCAUCGCCACCACCCAAUCUGAAUCUUGAAGUGCUUACUCUAUCCUGUGUGGCUCAAUAGAGGAAACAAAAGAGUAAUGCUCACAAAAAUGUGCAACACGAGAUCUAGUAGUUACCCCCUUAUGAAUAUCGCCGAGGAUGGUGUCGACGGGGUGAUCUCGUUGGAUUGCUUGGUGGACUCUUGGGUGUGGCGGCCUUGGUUCUUCAUCCUCCUUGUCUGGAUCAUUUGCAUCUCCCCCUUGAUCAUUGCCGUCAUCUUGAGGUGGCUCAUUUGCUUGAUCUUCUCCUUCAUCAACUUGAGCCUCAUCCUCACUUUGAGUUGGUGGAGAUGCUUGCGUGGAGGAGGAUGGUUGAUCUUGUGCAUUUGGAGGCUCUUCGGAUUCCUUAGGACACACAUCCCCAAUGGACAUGUUCCUUAGCGCGAUGCACGGAGCCUCUUCAUCACCUAUCUCAUCAAGAUCAACUUGCUCUACUUGAGAGCCGUUAGUCUCAUCAAACACAACGUCACAAGAAACUUCAACUUGUCUAGUGGACUUGUUAAAGACUCUAUAUGCCCUUGUGUUUGAAUCAUAUCCUAGUAAAAAGCCUUCUACAGUCUUAGGAGCAAAUUUAGAUUUUCUACCUCUUUUAACAAGAAUAAAGCAUUUGCUACAAAAGACUCUAAAAUAUGAAAUAUUGGGCUUUUUACCAGUUAGGAGUUCGUAUGAUGUCUUCUUGAGGAUUCGGUGUAGAUAUAACUGGUUGAUGGCGUAGCAAGCGGUGUUGACCGCCUCGGCCCAAAACCGAUCCGAAGUCUUGUACUCAUCAAGCAUGGUUCUUGCCAUGUCCAAUACAGUUCUAUUCUUCCUCUCCACUACACCAUUUUGUUGUGGCGUGUAGGGAGAAGAGAACUCAUGCUUGAUGCCCUCCUCCUCAAGGAAGCCUUCAAUUUGAGAGUUUUUGAACUCCGUCCUAUUGUCGCUUCUAAUUUUCUUGAUCCUUAAGCCGAACUCGUUUUGAGCCCGUCUCAAGAAUCCCUUUAAUGUCUCUUGGGUAUAAGAUUUUUCCUGCAAAAAGAAUACCCAAGUGAAGCGAGAAUAAUCAUCCACAAUAACUAGACAGUACUUACUCCCGCCGAUGCUUAUGUAAGCAAUCGGGCCGAAUAGGUCCAUGUGUAGGAGCUCCAGUGGCCUGUCAGUCGUCAUGAUGUUCUUAUGUGGAUGAUGGGCACCAACUUGCUUUCCUGCUUGGCAUGCGCUACAAAUCCUGUCUUUCUCAAAAUGAACAUUUGUUAGUCCUAAAAUGUGUUCUCCCUUUAGAAGCUUAUGAAGAUUCUUCAUCCCAACGUGUGCUAGUCGGCGAUACCAGAGCCAGCCCAUGUUAGUCUUAGCAAUUAAGCAAGUGUCAAGUUCAGCUCUAUCAAAAUUCACUAAGUAUAGCUGACCCUCUAACACUCCCUUAAAUGCUAUUGAAUCAGCACUUCUUCUAAAGACAGUGACACCUAUAUCAGUGAAUAAACAGUUGUAGCCCAUUUUGCAUAAUUGAGAAACGGAAAGCAAAUUGUAAUCUAAAGAGUCUACAAGAAAAACAUUGGAAAUGGAAUGGUCAGGUGAAAUAGCAAUUUUACCCAAUCCUUUGACCAAACCUUGAUUUCCAUCCCCGAAUGUGAUAGCUCGUUGGGGAUCUUGGUUUUUCUCAUAGGGGGAGAACAUCUUUUUCUCCCCUGUCAUGUGGUUUGUGCACCCGCUGUCGAUUACCCAACUUGAGCCCCCGGAUGCAUAAACCUACAAAACAAGUUUAGUUCUUCACUUUAGGUACCCAAAUGGUUUUGGGUCCUUUGGCAUUAGAUACAAGAACUUUGGGUACCCAAACACAAGUCUUUGACCCCUUGUGCUUGCCCCCAACAUACUUGGCAACUACCUUGCCGGAUUUGUUAGUUAAAACAUAUGAUGCAUCAAAAGUUUUAAAUGAAAUGUCAUGAUCAUUUGAUGCAUUAGGAGUUUUCUUCUUAGGCAACUUAGCACGGGUUGGUUGCCUAGAACUAGAUGUCUCACCCUUAUAUAUAAAAGCAUGGUUAGGGCCAGAGUGAGACUUCCUAGAAUGAAUUCUCCUAAUUUUGCUCUCAGGAUAACCGGCAGGGUACAAAAUGUAACCCUCAUUAUCUUGAGGCAUGGGAGCCUUGCCCUUAACAAAAUUAGACAAUUUCUUAGGUGGGGCAUUAAGCUUGACAUUGCCUCCCUAUUGGAAGCCAAUGCCAUCCUUAAUGCCAGGGCGUCUCCCUCUAUAAAGCAUACUACGAGCAAAUUUAAAUUUUUCAUUUUCAAGUUCAUGCUCGGCAAUUUUAGCAUCUAGUUUAGCUAUAUGAUCAUUUUGUUGUUUAAUUAAAAUCAUGUGAUCAUGAAUAGCAUUAAUAUCAACAUCUCUACAUCUAGUGCAAAUAGCUAGUGACAUGCUCAGUGGUAGAUGUAGAGGGUUUGCAAGAAUUAAGUUCAAUAAUCUUAGUAUGCAAUAUAUCAUUUUUAUCUCUAAGAUCGGAAAUUGUAACAUUGCAAACAUCUAGUUCUUUAGCCUUAGUAAGCAAUUUUUCAUUUUCAUUCCUAAGGCUAGCAAGAGUAAUGUUUAAUUCUUCAAUCUUAGCAAGCAAAUUAUCAUUAUCAUUUCUAAGAUUGGGAAUUGAAACAUUACAAGCAAUAGAAUCAACCUUAGCUAACAAAUUAGCAUUCUCAUUUCUAAGGUUGUCUAUAGUCUCAUGGCAAGUGCUUAGUUCACUAGAUAAUUUUUCACAAUUUUCAACUUCUAGAGAAUAAGAAUUUUUAACUUUAACAUGCUUUUUGUUUUCCUUGAUUAGGAAGUCCUUUUGGGAGUCCAAGAGGUCAUCCUUCUCAUGGAUGACACUAAUUAAUUCAUUUAAUUUCUCUUUUUGUUGCAUGUUUAAAUUGGCAAAAAGGGUACGCAAAUUAUCUUCCUCAUCACUAGCAUUAUCAUCACUAGAGGACUCAUAUCUAGUGGAGGAUUUGGAUUUAACCUUCUUCUUUUUGCCGUCCUUUGCCAUGAGGCACUUGUGGCCGACAUUGGGGAAGAGAAGUCCCUUGGUGACGGCGAUGUUGGCGGCGUCCUCGUCGUCGGAGGAGUCGCUAGAGCUUUCGUCGGAGUCCCACUCGCGACAAACAUGGGCAUCGCCGCCCUUCUUCUUGUAGUACUUCUUCUUCUCCUUUCUUCUCCCCCUCUUGUCGUCGCCCCUGUCACUGUCACUAGAAAUAGGACAUUUUGCUAUAAAGUGACCGGGCUUACCACACUUGUAGCAAACCUUCUUGGAGCGGGGCUUGUAAUCUUUCCCCCUCCUUUGCUUGAGGAUUUGGCGGAAGCUUUUGAUGACGAGCGCCAUUUCCUCGUUGUCGAGCUUGGAGGCGUCGAUGGGUGUUCUACUCGGUGUAGACUCCUCCUUCUUCUCCUCCGUCGCCUUAAAUGCGACCGGUUGUGCUUCGGAUGUGGAGGGACCGUCAAGCUCGUUGAUCUUCCGUGAGCCCUUGAUCAUAAAUUCAAAGCUCACAAAAUUCCCGAUUACUUCCUCGGGAGUCAUUAGUGUGUAUCUAGGAUUGCCACGAAUUAAUUGUACUUGAGUAGGGUUAAGGAAAAUAAAUGAUCUUAGAAUAACCUUAACCACCUCGUGGUCAUCCCACUUCUUGCUCCCGAGGUUGCGCACUUGAUUCACCAAGGUUAUGAGCCGGUUGUACAUGUCUUGAGGCUCCUCCCCUUGGCGAAGACGGAAGCGACCAAGCUCCCCCUCGAUCGUUUCCCGCUUGGUGAUCUUGGUGAGUUCAUCACCCUCGUGCGUGGUCUUGAGCACGUCCCAAACUUCCUUGGCGCUCUUUAAUCCUUGCACCUUGUUGUACUCCUCCCUACUUAGAGAGGCGAGGGGUAUGGUUGUGGCUUGGGAGUUGAAGUGCUUGAUUUGGGCCACCUCGUCCUCAUCAUAAUCCUCAUCCCCUAUGGAUGGUACCUGUUCUCCAAACUCAACAACAUUCCAUAUACUUUUGUGGAGUGUGGUUAGGUGAUAUUUCAUUAAAUCACUCCACCUAGCAUAAUCUUCACCGUCAAAGGUUGGCGGUUUGCCUAAUGGAACGGAAAGUAAUGGAGUAUGUCUAGAAGUACGAGGAUAGUGUAAGGGGAUCUUACUAAACUUCUUGCGCUCAUGGCGCUUAGAAGUUAUGGAGGGCCCGUCGGAGCCGGAGGUAGAUGGCGAUGAGGUGUCGGUCUCGUAGUAGACCACCUUCCUCAUCUUCUUUUUCUUGUCCCCACUCCGAUGCGACUUGUGGGAAGAAGCUUUCUUCUCCUUCCCCUUUCCCUUUUUGCGAGACUCUUCCGAUGAAGCCUUCCCGUGGCUUGUAGUGGGCUUUUCGCCGGUCUCCAUCUCCUUAUUGGCGUGAUCUCCCGACAUCACUUCGAGCGGUUAGGCUCUAAUGAAGCACCGGGCUCCGAUACCAAUUGAAAGUCGCCUAGAGGGGGGGUGAAUAGGGUGAAACUGAAAUUUACAAAGUUAAUCACAACUACAAGCCGGGUUAGCGUUAGAAAUAUAAUCGAGUCCGCGAGAGAGGGUGGAAAACAAAUUGCAAGCGAAUAAGGAUUGUGACAUGCGGAUUUGUUUUACCGAGGUUCGGUUCUCGCAAACCUACUCCCCGUUGAGGUGGUCACAAAGACCGGGUCUCUUUCAACCCUUUCCCUCUCUCAAACGGUCCCUCGGACCGAGUGAGCUUCUUCUUCUCAAUCAGACGGGAACAAAACUUCUCCGCAAGGGCCACCACACAAUUGGUGCCUCUUGCCUUGGUUACAAUUGAGUUGAUCGCAAGAAAGAGUCAAAGAAGAAAGCAAUCUAAGCGCAAGAGCUCGAAAGAACACAAGCAAAUCUCUCUCACUAAUCACUAAGGCGUUGUGUGGAAUUUGGAGAGGAUUUGAUCACUUGGGUGUGUCUAGAAUUGAAUGCUAGAGCUAUUGUAAGUGGUUGAAGUAUGAAAACUUGGAUGACUUGAAUGUGGGGUGGUUGGGGUAUUUAUAACUCCAACCACCAAACUAGCCGUUUGGUGGAGGCUGUCUGUCGCAUGGUGCACCGAAUAGUCCGGUGCACACCGGAUAGUGUCCGGUGCACCAGCCACGUCACCAGGCCGUUGGGUUCCGACCGUUGGAGCUCUGACUGCUAGGCCCGCCUGGAUGUCCGAUGGCACACCGGACAUGUACUGUAGAGUGUCCGGUGCGCCACUUCGCGCGUGCCUGACUUCUGCGUGCUCUGGCGCACAUUUAAUGCUUCUGCAGGUGACCGUUGGCGCGGAAUAGACGUUGCUCCGCUGGCUCACCGGACAGUCCGGUGUACACCGGACAUGUCUGGUGAAUUAUAGCGGAGCGAAUUCCCGAAGCUGACGAGUUCUAGAGUCGCUCUCCUCUGGGGCACCGGAUACUGUCCGGUGUACACCGGACAGUCCGGUGAAUUAUAGCGGAGCGCCUCUGGAUUUUCCCGAAGGUGAGGAGUUCAGCGUGAAGACCCCUGGUGCACCGGACACUGUCCGGUGGCACACCGGACAGUCCGGUGCGCCUGACCAGGGCACACUUCGGUUAUCCCUUGCUCUCUUUGUUGAACCCAAUUCUUGGUCUUUUUAUUGGCUAAGUGUGAACCUUUGGCACCUGUACAACUUAUACACUAGAGCAAACUAGUUAGUCCAAUUAUUUGUGUUGGGCAAUUCAACCACCAAAAUCAAUUAGGAACUAGGUGUAAGCCUAAUUCCCUUUCAAUCUCCCCCUUUUUGGUGAUUGAUGCCAACACAAACCAAAGCAAGUAUAGAAGUGCAUAAUUGAACUAGCUUGCAUAAUGUAAGUGCAAAGGUUGCUUGGAAUUGAGCCAAUAUAAAUACUUAUAGAAUACGCAUGGAUUGUUUCUUUAUUUUUUAACAUUUUGGACCACGCAUGCACCAUAUGUUUGUUUUAGCAAAUUCUUUUGUAAAUCCCUUUCAAAAUCCUUUUGCAAAUAGUCAAAGGUAAAAUGAAUAGAAUUUUGCAAAGUAUUUUCAAGAUUUGAAAUUUUCUCCCCUUGUUUCAAAUGCUUUUCCUUUGACUUGAACAAAACUCCCCCUAAAUGAAAUCCUCCUCUUAGUGUUCAAGAGGGUUUUAGGAUAUUGAUUUUGAAAAUACUAUUCUCUCCCCCUUUUUGAACACAAGGAGAUACCAAAUUGAAAAAUCAUACCAAUUGAAAAACGCCUUUUAAAAAUUAGGUGGUGGUGUGGUCCUUUUGCUUUGGGCUAAUACUCUCUCCCCCUUUGGCAUGAAUCGCCAAAAACGGAGUCAUUAGAGCCCUUAGAAUUACUUUCUCCC